rnacentral:rRNA from 2 species
CUUGCUCCUGCAGGUUAGCGGCGGACGGGUGAGUAACACGUGGGCAACCUACCUGUAAGACUGGGAUAACUUCGGGAAACCGGAGCUAAUACCGGAUGACAUAAAGGAACUCCUGUUCCUUUAUUGAAAGAUGGCUUCGGCUAUCACUUACAGAUGGGCCCGCGGCGCAUUAGCUAGUUGGUGAGGUAACGGCUCACCAAGGCGACGAUGCGUAGCCGACCUGAGAGGGUGAUCGGCCACACUGGGACUGAGACACGGCCCAGACUCCUACGGGAGGCAGCAGUAGGGAAUCUUCCGCAAUGGACGAAAGUCUGACGGAGCAACGCCGCGUGAACGAUGAAGGCCUUCGGGUCGUAAAGUUCUGUUGUUAGGGAAGAACAAGUGCUAGUUGAAUAAGCUGGCACCUUGACGGUACCUAACCAGAAAGCCACGGCUAACUACGUGCCAGCAGCCGCGGUAAUACGUAGGUGGCAAGCGUUGUCCGGAAUUAUUGGGCGUAAAGCGCGCGCAGGCGGUUUCUUAAGUCUGAUGUGAAAGCCCCCGGCUCAACCGGGGAGGGUCAUUGGAAACUGGGAAACUUGAGUGCAGAAGAGGAAAGUGGAAUUCCAAGUGUAGCGGUGAAAUGCGUAGAGAUUUGGAGGAACACCAGUGGCGAAGGCGACUUUCUGGUC